rnacentral:rRNA from 1 species
UACGAAGGGGGCGAGCGUUGUUCGGAAUUACUGGGCGUAAAGGGCGCGCAGGCGGCUCUGAAAGUCAGAUGUGAAAGCCCCGGGCUUAACCUGGGAAUUGCAUUUGAUACUCUGGAGCUUGAGUACGGGAGAGGAGAGUGGAAUUCCCAGUGUAGAGGUGAAAUUCGUAGAUAUUGGGAAGAACACCGGUGGCGAAGGCGGCUCUCUGGACCGUAACUGACGCUGAGGCUCGAAAGCGUGGGGAGCAAACAGG